AAAAAAUAAAAAACACUUCUGCAAUGUUCUUCUCACAUGAAGAAUCAUCUGGAGGCCCACUGAGGAAAACGUCAGAAUCAGAUUCUUAAACAAAUCAACCUAUAAAAUCAUCGGAAUUUAAUCAACAAGAUCGAAUGGCAUCGGCGAAGCCAUCACCAGUGGCUUUACGAUUACGCACCCACCUUGGAACCACCACUAGAUUCCCCAUAUCUCGCGCGAACCUUCGACAAAAAUGGAUCAAUUCCCACAUACCCAACAAUGCUGGUCUUCGUGCUAGACUCGCCAUUCUCGCUUAUCAUCGCUCUUAUUCUCUUUGUUCUUCUAUUUCGGUUUGCUCUACUUCUCUUCUUUCUUCUUUUUCUCUUUGCACUUUGUUCCGACCUCGUUUUCCUCAUCUUCGAUCUCCUUUGUCCAUGACCACUCAAGCCAAUUCUGACCCACCUCAGUCUUCCUCCUCCACAAAAACGGUGAGGGCCGUGAUCAAGGGGAGGGUGCAAGGAGUAUUCUAUAGGAACUGGACAGUGGACAAUGCAACCCAAUUGGGGUUGAAAGGCUGGGUUAGGAAUAGGAGGGAUGGUUCUGUCGAGGCACUAUUCUCUGGGGAUGCUGAUAAGGUGCAGGAGAUGGAGCAGAGGUGCCGCCGUGGUCCACCUGAUGCUGUGGUUACUGGCUUCCAGGUGUUUCCUUGCGAUGAUGAACCUGGAAGUGGGUUCCAGCGUAAACCAACGGUUUGAUCAAUCAUGUGAAUAUGCUUAAUGGAUUCCUAUUUUACUCUUCUUGCUAAGUGGGUUGAAGGCGAGAUGACAAAUGCUAGGUAUGGGGCAUAGCAAAUGAAGAGCUGUUUAUCUACUUCCAGUUUCAGCGUAUUCAGCUUCUAGAUAUAGAGCUUGAAAGAAGAAGCAUAUGGUGUGACCUUGACGUAUUUUAGCUCAUCAGCAAGUACUUAUUUCCUGACUAAUUUUCUAAAGAGACAUUCUUUAGCUUCUCUUUCUUCAGUUUUCACCUUUAAGCCUUCUAAUGGAAGCUAGCUUACUGCAAUGUGCUAUUGCUAGCUGUUCUUGUGUUAUUCCAUGUUUCUCCUCCUCCUACUAUGGUUGGUGAACUGGUGGUUUUCGUAGUUUCGCAGUUUGGCUACCUAUUUUUGAUGAUCAUGAAUGUCCUAAACUUAUCAUACUAGUAGAAGGGAGUUUUGUGAAGAUCUGCUGGAAUUUAUAAGCAUAUAAAUUUCUGCAUUUUCAUUGACAUGAAGAAACAACAGGAACAACUGAUUUUAUUUUUGAUUCAGUGAUAAUGGAAUCAUGAAGAUUAACAAGUAUCAAGCUUUAGUAACUCAAAAUCAUUGAAUCAAAGCUUAUUAGU